CAGGCCUAACACAUGCAAGUCGAACGAGACCUUCGGGUCUAGUGGCGCACGGGUGCGUAACGCGUGGGAAUCUGCCCUUGGGUUCGGAAUAACUCGCCGAAAGGCGUGCUAAUACCGGAUAAUGACGUAAGUCCAAAGAUUUAUCGCCCAAGGAUGAGCCCGCGUAGGAUUAGCUAGUUGGUGAGGUAAGAGCUCACCAAGGCGACGAUCCUUAGCUGGUCUGAGAGGAUGAUCAGCCACACUGGGACUGAGACACGGCCCAGACUCCUACGGGAGGCAGCAGUGGGGAAUAUUGGACAAUGGGGGCAACCCUGAUCCAGCAAUGCCGCGUGAGUGAUGAAGGCCUUAGGGUUGUAAAGCUCUCUUACCCGGGAUGAUAAUGACAGUACCGGGAGAAUAAGCUCCGGCUAACUCCGUGCCAGCAGCCGCGGUAAU
rnacentral:rRNA from 1 species